rnacentral:rRNA from 1 species
UACGUAGGGUGCGGGCGUUGUCCGGAAUUACUGGGCGUAAAGAGCUCGUAGGUGGUUUGUCGCGUUGUUCGUGAAAACUCACAACUCAAUUGUGGGCGUGCGGGCGAUACGGGCAGACUGGAGUACUGCAGGGGAGACUGGAAUUCCUGGUGUAGCGGUGGAAUGCGCAGAUAUCAGGAGGAACACCGGUGGCGAAGGCGGGUCUCUGGGCAGUAACUGACGCUGAGGAGCGAAAGCGUGGGGAGCGAACAGG